rnacentral:rRNA from 1 species
AUUGAACGCUGGCGGCAGGCCUAACACAUGCAAGUCGAGCGGAGCGGCGUACGGGUGAGUAAUGCCUAGGAAUCUGCCUGGUAGUGGGGGAUACCGUCCGGAAACGGGCGCUAAUACCGCAUACUAUCAGAUGAGCCUAGGUCGGAUUCGCUCGUUGGUGGGGUAAAGGCCUACCAAGGCGACGAUCCGUAACUGGUCUGAGAGGAUGAUCAGUCACACUGGAACUGAGACACGGUCCAGACUCCUACGGGAGGCAGAAGUGGGGAAUAUUGGACAAUGGGGGAAAGCCUGAUCAAGCCAGGCCGCGUGUGUGAAGAAGGUCUUCGGAUUGUAAAGUACUUUAAGUUGGGAGGCGUUACCAACAGAAUAAGCACCGGCUAACUUCGUGCCAGCAGCCGCGGUAAUUC